CAGAGGAAUUUCCAAAUCCCUCUUUCGACCGCCUUUUCUUCCCCUCUGUUCCCGCUUUCGAGAGCACUCUCUUCAUCUUCCGAGCGUCCUUCUGCCUUGCGGUGGCGUGAUGAUUCAGACCGUUCAUCCAAAAGCUCGUAUCUAGAAGCCGUGAAUCGUUCGAGCGCCCUUCUUUCGAACGAACAUUCUGAGUGAUUGGAGAUCAUCAUAUUUCAUGCUAAGAAACUUCGUGUUUGGUGUCGGCUUCCAAAUGGGCAAUGGAAGAUGGGAAGGAUACAAUCAAUUUCAGGGGUGGAUACUGUUAUUUCGCUUUCAUAUGGGGAAAUGAGUAAAUCACUCGUGGGUUUCUUUUAAGCAACAACUAUCGAGUGCCUUAAGCUGGUUGGAUUAACUAUAUCCUGAUUUUACAAGCAGCAUGAAAUGAAGAAAUUCACAAAGAUGACUGUGAAAAUGAUGAAGGAAGAGAAGUUGUACGCAUCUCAGGGUGGUCAUAUUGUCCUAUCACAGGUUUGCCUCUUUUUGUAAGAUAAACAAUUCUCCAAAUCCAAUUUUGGUGGGCCUUGUUUAAUCUUGUUAAUUGGAUUUUACUCUUUGUCGAGUUCAGAUAGAAAAUGAAUGACAACACAAUCCAGAUUGCCUUUAAAGAUAAGGGGGCAUCCUAUGUUCAGUGGGCUGGGAAUAUGGCGGUGGUGCUAGGGACAGGUGUGCCAUGGGUUAUGUGCAAGCAAAGGAUUCUCCUGAUCCAGUGAUCAGUGCUUGCAAUGGAAGGAACCGCGGAGAUACUUUCACUGGUUCUAAUAAACCCUACAAGCUUGUGCUAUGGACUGAGAACUGACUGCUAAGUAAGUACAACUUCUUAAUAAUAAGCCUUAAAUAAUUAGUGCAUUGGACCAUUCGAUUAAUUAAUGAUUAUAUUACCAAUGAUAAUACUAAAACAACAACAAUAAUGGACCGGGGGCUAUCUUUUAAACUGGAUACGAUUUUAACGUUGAAACUCUUCCUCCAUACGCAUUGAAUACAUGCUGAUCAUGGAAAAUUAAAUAGUGAACAAUUGCAUGGAUUGAAAAUAUUCUGAAAAUUUCGGUGAUUAGACGAUCUCAACAGUUUGAGCAUGUAGAACUUGGACUGCUGACAAUUUAUCCUUCAUAACUGUGAAGUUCAUUGUCAUCAACUGGAUGUUUAUGGUCGUCUUAUUAGCAAGUUUGGUGAUAUGUCCAUCUACACUAUGGGC